rnacentral:misc_RNA from 1 species
CAAUUCCAUCAUAUCGUAUGCCAGUAACAAUUCCUUCAGGUUUUGAUAAUGUGACUUGAACUAUGCCAUUAUCCAUCACGACAUGACGAUCUUGAAUAUGCAAUCGAACCGCAUGAGGUGGCAUGGUGCGACAGUUGCUAUCUUUCAGAUUUUGUUCACCACAAUGAAAAUGUCUAUCUGGGUUCAAUAUACCUCCAGGUCCAGGUCUUUGAGAAGUGGAGAUAGAGUAAGAAACAUUUCUGUGACGCAGGCAACCGCCGCAAUCGCAUAGAGAACCGAAGAGGCUUUGCAGCCUUUUCUUCAUUCAAAAGGACGAGAUAUAAAUUGGCGAUAUGUGAUUUUUCAGCAAUUACUACGGCGGAAAUGGAGGCGGUGAUGGCAUAGUGGUGGACUGAGUGGCGGCAAAGGAUGAAC